CCCCGUUCAGUUGUUGAAUCAAACACAGGUCGCACUGGUUUUGAGUUGAGCUUGUGUGUCAGUAUUAGGCCCUGACUGGUCUGGUUUGUUGUGUUACCAGGUGGAGAGGAGGGUUGUGUCAGUAUUAGGCCCUGACUGGUCUGGUUUGUUGUGUUACCAGGUGGAGAGGAGGGUUGUGUCAGUAUUAGGCCCUGACUGGUCUGGUUUGUUGUGUUACCAGGUGGAGUGGAGGGUUGUGUCAGUAUUAGGCCUGACUGGUCUGGUUUGUUGUGUUACCAGGUGGAGUGGAGGGUUGUGUCAGUAUUAGGCCUGACUGGUCUGGUUUGUUGUGUUACCAGGUGGAGUGGAGGGUUGUGUCAGUAUUAGGCCUGACUGGUCUGGUUUGUUGUGUUACCAGGUGGAGCGGAGGGUUGUGUCAGUAUUAGGCCUGACUGGUCUGGUUUGUUGUGUUACCAGGUGGAGUGGAGGGUUGUGUCAGUAUUAGGCCUGACUGGUCUGGUUUGUUGUGUUACCAGGUGGAGUGGAGGGUUGUGUCAGUAUUAGGGCCUGACUGGUCUGGUUUGUUGUGUUACCAGGUGGAGUGGAGGGUUGUGUCAGUAUUAGGCCUGACUGGUCUGGUUUGUUGUGUUACCAGGUGGAGUGGAGGGUUGUGUCAGUAUUAGGCCUGACUGGUCUGGUUUGUUGUGUUACCAGGUGGAGUGGAGGGUUGUGUCAGUAUUAGGCCUGACUGGUCUGGUUUGUUGUGUUACCAGGUGGAGUGGAGGGUUGUGUCAGUAUUAGGCCUGACUGGUCUGGUUUGUUGUGUUACCAGGUGGAGUGGAGGGUUGUGUCAGUAUUAGGGCCUGACUGGUCUGGUUUGUUGUGUUACCAGGUGGAGUGGAGGGUUGUGUCAGUAUUAGGCCUGACUGGUCUGGUUUGUUGUGUUACCAGGUGGAGUGGAGGGUUGUGUCAGUAUUAGGCCUGACUGGUCUGGUUUGUUGUGUUACCAGGUGGAGUGGAGGGUUGUGUCAGUAUUAGGCCUGACUGGUCUGGUUUGUUGUGUUACCAGGUGGAGUGGAGGGUUGUGUCAGUAUUAGGCCUGACUGGUCUGGUUUGUUGUGUUACCAGGUGGAGUGGAGGGUUGUGUCAGUAUUAGGGCCUGACUGGUCUGGUUUGUUGUGUUACCAGGUGGAGUGGAGGGUUGUGUCAGUAUUAGGCCUGACUGGUCUGGUUUGUUGUGUUACCAGGUGGAGUGGAGGGUUGUGUCAGUAUUAGGCCUGACUGGUCUGGUUUGUUGUGUUACCAGGUGGAGUGGAGGGUUGUGUCAGUAUUAGGCCUGACUGGUCUGGUUUGUUGUGUUACCAGGUGGAGUGGAGGGUUGUGUCAGUAUUAGGCCUGACUGGUCUGGUUUGUUGUGUUACCAGGUGGAGUGGAGGGUUGUGUCAGUAUUAGGGCCUGACUGGUCUGGUUUGUUGUGUUACCAGGUGGAGUGGAGGGUUGUGUCAGUAUUAGGGCCUGACUGGUCUGGUUUGUUGUGUUACCAGGUGGAGCGGAGGGUUGUGUCAGUAUUAGGGCCUGACUGGUCUGGUUUGUUGUGUUACCAGGUGGAGUGGAGGGUUGUGUCAGUAUUAGGCCUGACUGGUCUGGUUUGUUGUGUUACCAGGUGGAGUGGAGGGUUGUGUCAGUAUUAGGCCUGACUGGUCUGGUUUGUUGUGUUACCAGGUGGAGUGGAGGGUUGUGUCAGUAUUAGGCCUGACUGGUCUGGUUUGUUGUGUUACCAGGUGGAGUGGAGGGUUGUGUCAGUAUUAGGCCUGACUGGUCUGGUUUGUUGUGUUACCAGGUGGAGUGGAGGGUUGUGUCAGUAUUAGGCCUGACUGGUCUGGUUUGUUGUGUUACCAGGUGGAGUGGAGGGUUGUGUCAGUAUUAGGCCUGACUGGUCUGGUUUGUUGUGUUACCAGGUGGAGUGGAGGGUUGUGUCAGUAUUAGGCCCUGACUGGUCUGGUUUGUUGUGUUACCAGGUGGAGUGGAGGGUUGUGUCAGUAUUAGGCCUGACUGGUCUGGUUUGUUGUGUUACCAGGUGGAGUGGAGGGUUGUGUCAGUAUUAGGCCCUGACUGGUCUGGUUUGUUGUGUUACCAGGUGGAGUGGAGGGUUGUGUCAGUAUUAGGCCUGACUGGUCUGGUUUGUUGUGUUACCAGGUGGAGUGGAGGGUUGUGUCAGUAUUAGGCCCUGACUGGUCUGGUUUGUUGUGUUACCAGGUGGAGUGGAGGGUUGUGUCAGUAUUAGGCCUGACUGGUCUGGUUUGUUGUGUUACCAGGUGGAGUGGAGGGUUGUGUCAGUAUUAGGCCCUGACUGGUCUGGUUUGUUGUGUUACCAGGUGGAGUGGAGGGUUGUGUCAGUAUUAGGCCCUGACUGGUCUGGUUUGUUGUGUUACCAGGUGGAGUGGAGGGUUGUGUCAGUAUUAGGCCUGACUGGUCUGGUUUGUUGUGUUACCAGGUGGAGUGGAGGGUUGUGUCAGUAUUAGGCCCUGACUGGUCUGGUUUGUUGUGUUACCAGGUGGAGAGGAGGGUUGUGUCAGUAUUAGGCCCUGACUGGUCUGGUUUGUUGUGUUACCAGGUGGAGAGGAGGGUUGUGUCAGUAUUAGGCCCUGACUGGUCUGGUUUGUUGUGUUACCAGGUGGAGUGGAGGGUUGUGUCAGUAUUAGGCCUGACUGGACUGGUUUGUUGUGUUACCAGGUGGAGUGGAGGGUUGUGUCAGUAUUAGGCCUGACUGGACUGGUUUGUUGUGUUACCAGGUGGAGAGGAGGGUUGUGUCAGUAUUAGGCCUGACUGGUCUGGUUUGUUGUGUUACCAGGUGGAGUGGAGGGUUGUGUCAGUAUUAGGCCUGACUGGACUGGUUUGUUGUGUUACCAGGUGGAGAGGAGGGUUGUGUCAGUAUUAGGCCUGACUGGUCUGGUUUGUUGUGUUACCAGGUGGAGUGGAGGGUUGUGUCAGUAUUAGGCCCUGACUGGUCUGGUUUGUUGUGUUACCAGGUGGAGCGGAGGGUUGUGUCAGUAUUAGGCCUGACUGGUCUGGUUUGUUGUG